GGCUUGUUUUUUGAGGCGUGUUGUUGUUGGCGUUCUGUGUAGGGUUCGCCUGUGGUUGUGGUGUCUUGGCUUGGAGCCGCCCUGCCUGGGGGUGUAGAGUCAGGGCGAGGCGGCACAGAAGCCACAGCCUCUCAUCGCUCAUGUGUCAAAGUGCCUUGCUUCUUUGGGGGAAAAGAUGUGUGGCCCUUUUAGAUCGAGCGGCCGUUGUCAGUGGGUGAGAAGAAGAAUUCCCAUGGUGUUUUGUGGCCUCCCAGGGGAUGACGGUAGCUGUCUGGGAGAGGGAGCUCCUGCUUCAGCGGAGCAGAGAGCAUCUCAGGGGCAUUCCGGCUUGGAUGUGGGUCGGGCGUAAUGCUUGGUUUACGGUGUUUAGAUGGCAGAGCAGGCCUAGCUGGGCUCUCGAUGGGCUUGCUACCUGGGAACAAGGCCUGUGGAAUGGCUAAGCUAUUGCUGUUCAUUGAGGGGACUUGUUUGAUAUUUUUGCAGAUGCCGAGGGAGGAGUCGUGCAGGGCGACGGAGGAGGGCCGAGGAUAGCGCUGUAAGCAGGUGGUGGUCGAGCUUGAACAUGGCAGUUGGAUCUGAUGGCGUCCAGGUGCCACAAUCAGCCUUCAGAGGGGAGACGACGCAUGGCGACGAGGUGUCCGAGA